rnacentral:rRNA from 1 species
GAUGAACGCUGGCGGCGUGCUUAACACAUGCAAGUCGAGCGAAGCACUUAUGAUGAUCCUUCGGGUGAAUCAUUUGUGACUGAGCGGCGGACGGGUGAGUAACGCGUGAGUAACCUGCCUCAUACAGGGGAAUAACAGUUAGAAAUGACUGCUAAUGCCGCAUAAGCGCACAGGGCCGCAUGGCCCGGUGUGAAAAACUCCGGUGGUAUGAGAUGGACUCGCGUCUGAUUAGCUAGUUGGUGAGGUAACGGCCCACCAAGGCGACGAUCAGUAGCCGGCCUGAGAGGGUGAACGGCCACAUUGGGACUGAGACACGGCCCAAACUCCUACGGGAGGCAGCAGUGGGGAAUAUUGCACAAUGGGGGAAACCCUGAUGCAGCGACGCCGCGUGAGUGAAGAAGUAUUUCGGUAUGUAAAGCUCUAUCAGCAGGGAAGAAAAUGACGGUAC